AUUGAACGCUGGCGGCAGGCCUAACACAUGCAAGUCGAGCGGAUGAAGGGAGCUUGCUCCUGGAUUCAGCGGCGGACGGGUGAGUAAUGCCUAGGAAUCUGCCUGGUAGUGGGGGAUAACGUCCGGAAACGGGCGCUAAUACCGCAUACGUCCUGAGGGAGAAAGAGGGGGAUCUUCGGACCUCACGCUAUCAGAUGAGCCUAGGUCGGAUUAGCUGGUUGGUGGGGUAAAGGCCUACCAAGGCGACGAUCCGUAACUGGUCUGAGAGGAUGAUCAGUCACACUGGAACUGAGACACGGUCCAGACUCCUACGGGAGGCAGCAGUGGGGAAUAUUGGACAAUGGGCGGAAGCCUGAUCCAGCCAUGCCGCGUGUGUGAAGAAGGUCUUCGGAUUGUAAAGCACUUUAAGUUGGGAGGAAGGGCAGUAAGUUAAUACCUUGCUGUUUUGACGUUACCAACAGAAUAAGCACCGGCUAACUUCGUG
rnacentral:rRNA from 1 species